rnacentral:rRNA from 1 species
GAGCAUGUGGCUUAAUUUGACUCAACGCGGGAAAUCUUACCGGGUCCGGACACACUGAGGAUUGACAGGCAAUAUUAAUUUCUGGCCUCCGGGUCGAUUUUAUGUUAAAUAUGCUAGUCCUUUCAUGAUUAUGUGAUAGGUGGUGCAUGGCCGUUCUUAGUUCGUGGAGUGAUCUGUCUGCUUAAUUGCGUUUCACUAAGGGCCUAUAAUUUAACGUGUGUUGCGGCACUUUGACCCCUCUUCGCGGAGCGUGCGUCUUAGCUUGUUUAGCUCACACAAUUAGGUCCUGAAAGCAACGAACGUGACCGCAACCUCUUGUUGCCUUUAUACCAAACACAGUCUGAUCUUUUUCCCCGAAAGGGCUACCGUGAAAAAAGGGUUUUUAAACUAGAGGGACCGCUGUUACUUUCUUAAACCAGAGGAAGGUUGCGGCAAUAACAGGUCUGUGA